rnacentral:lncRNA from 1 species
CUUAAUUCUUUUGCAUAGUCUGGAGGCUUCUUACAGUAGAGCUUGCAAUUGAAACCUUCACGAUGACUUCUAUUAAAUAGCCAUGAUACAGAUGGUUACAAGCCAUCACAUGUUGUCAAAAAGUUGCUGAAAUGGACAAAAUAGCUGAUAUGGAUACUUUUCUACUCAUUUUUGCUCCCAGACUAUAGUUUACACCCUCCUCCUCAACCUUCUCAUCACUCCCACCUCCUUCCUCCUCCACACCGCCUUCUAUGCCCUCCUCCAUUGCCACAACAUAUGCCCUCCACCUC